GGUUCCAUAGUGUAGCGGUUAGCACAUCUGCUUUACAUGCAGAAGGUCCUGGGUUCGCACCCCUUUGGAGACA
rnacentral:tRNA from 1 species